CGAAGCGGCCCAAACCCAGCCCAGAAGGAGCCGUGAAACGUCCGACUAGGUCCGCCUCUGACUUGCGUCCGGCUCCUCGGCCUUCGGCUGCCUCCGUGUCGUGCUGCCGUCGUUGCCCUGCCUGCCCAAGCGCCGGAGACUCGAGCAGCUGCCAGCCUCGCGACACCGCCGGCGAUGGCCGGCGAGGAGGCGCCGCUGGGCGCGCUCAACCUGGCCGAGUACGCCCCCGCCGGCGCGCGCACCGUCGACUGCUACAGGCGCAUCCGCAAGAUCGGCGAGGGCACCUACGGUGAGGUAUUUGAGGCUGUGGAUAUCAUUACUGGGGAAAGAGCAGCACUCAAGAAAAUAAAAUUGGAUGAUGGAAAAGAAGGGUUUCCACGCCAAAUCUUGCGUGAGAUUAAACUAUUAAAAAAGCUGGAUCAUGAGAACAUCAUCAGAUUGAAAGAGAUUGUAGUAUCUCCUGGUUCUGCGCAUGGAACAGGAGGAUUAGAUGAUCACAUGUAUAGGGGAGAUAUCUACAUGGUUUUUGAAUACAUGGACCAUGAUUUGAAGAAAGUAUUGCACCAUAGUACACCAUCCCAAGUCAAGGUUUUCAUGGGGCAGCUGCUAAAAGGAUUGCACUACUGCCAUGUCAACAAUGUACUUCAUCGUGAUAUCAAAGGGGCUAAUCUUCUAAUAAGUGGUAGUAAGCUUUUAAAGCUUGCUGAUUUUGGCCUUGCAAGACCAUUCACUAGAGAUGGAAGUUUCACAAAUCAUGUCAUCACUUUAUGGUACCGACCCCCAGAGUUGCUUCUUGGUGCCACAAAUUAUGCUGAAGCUGUGGAUAUUUGGUCUGUUGGUUGCAUAUUUGCAGAAUUUUUACUUAAGAAACCAUUAUUUCCUGGCAGAACCGAGAAGCUUGUAUGCUAUUUUAGCAAGAGCAGCUAUCGAAAAUUUUUGAACUUUGUGGAUCUCCAAAUGAGGAAAUCUGGCCAGGUGUAUCCAAGCUACCAUUGUACAAGGCUAUGACUAUCCAUCCUGUGACGCCUACCAAACGACGCCUAAGAGAUAUGUUACAGAACUUUGACUGUCAUGCUGUUGAAUUAGUUGAACGCAUGUUGAUCCUUAAUCCUACACAGAGAAUUUCCGCACAAGAUGCCCUUGGUGUGGCAUACUUCAUGAAUUAAACUCAUAUGGUGAAAAAAAAAAUCAAGAUUCACUGUUCUCUGCGACUGAUUGAGGUUUUUACCUUAUCAGACUGGGAUCUGGGGAUCUCACUGGUGUAAGUAUUACUUGAAGACUGAAGUCUUGUUUCUCCAGCUGACUUUGGAUUAGGGCUAGAGAGCAAUUUAACUUUGUCUUUUCUAGCUUUAAAUAUAUAUGCGUAUAUACUGUACAUUAUUGCUUGUGGCAAACUGUAUUUGAUUAUUAAUUCAUAAAUCAUAGCAAGCAAUUCUUCUUGGUCU